rnacentral:rRNA from 1 species
CCUACGGGAGGCAGCAGUGAGGAAUAUUGGUCAAUGGACGCGAGCCUGAACCAGCCAAGUAGCGUGAAGGAUGACUGCCCUAUGGGUUGUAAACUUCUUUUAUAUGGGAAUAAAACAGGGUAUGCAUACCCUCUUGUAUGUACCAUAUGAAUAAGGAUCGGCUAACUCCGCGCCAGCAGCCGCGGUAAUACGGAGGAUCCGAGCGUUUUCCGGAUUUAUUGGGUUUAAAGGGAGCGUAGGUGGAUUGUUAAGUCAGUUGUGAAAGUAUGCGGCUCAACCGUAGAAUUGCAUCUGAACCUGGCAGUCUUGAGUACAGUAGAGGUGGGCGGAAUUCGUGGUGUAGCGGUGAAAUGCUUAGAUAUCACGAAGAACUCCGAUUGCGAAGGCAGCUCACUGGACGGCGACUGACGCUGAUGUUCGAAAGUGUGGGUAUCAAACAGGAUUAGAUACCCUGGUAGUC